GUCUCGGUAGUGUAACGGAUAGAGCACGGUGCCCGCAAAGCGCAAGUACGGGUUCGAGUCCCGUUCGAGGCG
rnacentral:tRNA from 1 species